AUUCUAUGUUCAUUCCCCUUCAACCUUUAAUUCAUUCAACUUUGUGUUGGACUUGGUGACGUACGGCGAAUAAACAAACAGUUCCCGCUGAGUUUGUUCCGAACCGCUGAACUGAGUGAAUAGUCAUGUCUUUCUACUAUCCGAAGAAUUUUCGUGCUAACGGUUGGGGGUGGCAUAGAAGUGGCAACGCGGCCCUUGCAGUCAGUGGUUUCUUGAGUAAAGAACGUGGCGGGGAGGGUUCAGAACCCUUGCUCGGUAACGGUAGUUUGUACCCAAAACUACCCUCCGAGGAUGACACUUCUUUCUCUGGGGUCAAAUUGUAUCCCGCUCUGCCUGUUGAGGAAUACGAGGGUGGUGCUGUCGAAGAAGUGGUUGAAGAGGCUUGUGCAGCUGUCAAUGUUAAUUUGGUGGUAAGUUUUGUUUUAUAUUGUCUUCUCCAUUCUACGUGAUUUUGACGAAAUAAUCCUCGUUAUUUUGGUAUUAUUGGAAGCCAUUAAUGAACGAAUGUUAUCUAUAUAAUGUAAACAUAUCUUAGCAAUGUAUACUUUAGUCAUUUAAAUAAAAAUAUUAAAGGAUUAAAAA